CAUCAAGAAGCUUUUACAGCAUUAGCCUUUUAAGCUAGAGACAGAAACCUUUUCCUUGAUGG
rnacentral:tRNA from 1 species